rnacentral:lncRNA from 1 species
AGAUUAUCUAAUAUUUUUAAUAACUCUAAAUAAUUGAUGUUGAUAUUUCAAAUUUGGAGAUUUCACAAAUAAAGUUUGGGAAAUUUCACACAGUAAUAAUAAGGCAAUUAAUGAUCUGACUGUAUAAAUGGCUGAAAUUAAAGUUUUAACUCUAAAUGUAUGGGGUUUGCUUUAUAUAUCUAAAGAUGUUGAAGAGAGAAUGGAUGCUUUAGCAGAAGAACUCAAAAAUGGAGAAUAUGACAUAAUUGCUUUGCAAGAAGU